GGGUUGUGAGGUUAAGCGACUAAGCGUACACGGUGGAUGCCCUGGCAGUCAGAGGCGAUGAAGGACGUGCUAAUCUGCGAAAAGCGUCGGUAAGGUGAUAUGAACCGUUAUAGCCGGCGAUGUCCGAAUGGGGAAACCCAGUGCAAUUCGUUGCACUAUCGUUAACUGAAUACAUAGGUUAACGAGGCGAACCGGGGGAACUGAAACAUCUAAGUACCCCGAGGAAAAGAAAUCAACCGAGAUUCCCCCAGUAGCGGCGAGCGAACGGGGAGCAGCCCGGAGUCUGAAUCAGCUUGUGUGUUAGUGGAAGCGUCUGGAAAGUCGCAGGGUACAGGGUGAUACUCCCGUACACUAAAACGCACAGGCUGUGAACUCGAAGAGUAGGGCGGGACACGUGGUAUCCUGUCUGAAUAUGGGGGGACCAUCCUCCAAGGCUAAAUACUCCUGACUGACCGAUAGUGAACCAGUACCGUGAGGGAAAGGCGAAAAGAACCCCGGCGAGGGGAGUGAAAAAGAACCUGAAACCGUGUACGUACAAGCAGUAGGAGCCUCUUUAUGGGGUGACUGCGUACCUUUUGUAUAAUGGGUCAGCGACUUAUAUUCUGUAGCAAGGUUAACCGUAUAGGGGAGCCGCAGGGAAACCGAGUCUUAACUGGGCGUUAAGUUGCAGGGUAUAGACCCGAAACCCGGUGAUCUAGCCAUGGGCAGGUUGAAGGUUGGGUAACACUAACUGGAGGACCGAACCGACUAAUGUUGAAAAAUUAGCGGAUGACUUGUGGCUGGGGGUGAAAGGCCAAUCAAACCGGGAGAUAGCUGGUUCUCCCCGAAAGCUAUUUAGGUAGCGCCUCGUGAACUCAUCUUCGGGGGUAGAGCACUGUUUCGGCUAGGGGGUCAUCCCGACUUACCAACCCGAUGCAAACUACGAAUACCGAAGAAUGUUAUCACGGGAGACACACGGCGGGUGCUAACGUCCGUCGUGAAGAGGGAAACAACCCAGACCGCCAGCUAAGGUCCCAAAGUCAUGGUUAAGUGGGAAACGAUGUGGGAAGGCCCAGACAGCCAGGAUGUUGGCUUAGAAGCAGCCAUCAUUUAAAGAAAGCGUAAUAGCUCACUGGUCGAGUCGGCCUGCGCGGAAGAUGUAACGGGGCUAAACCAUGCACCGAAGCUGCGGCAGCGACACUAUGUGUUGUUGGGUAGGGGAGCGUUCUGUAAGCCGUUGAAGGUGGCCUGUGAGGGUUGCUGGAGGUAUCAGAAGUGCGAAUGCUGACAUAAGUAACGAUAAUGCGGGUGAAAAACCCGCACGCCGGAAGACCAAGGGUUCCUGUCCAACGUUAAUCGGGGCAGGGUGAGUCGACCCCUAAGGCGAGGCCGAAAGGCGUAGUCGAUGGGAAACAGGUUAAUAUUCCUGUACUCGGUGUUACUGCGAAGGGGGGACGGAGAAGGCUAUGUUGGCCGGGCGACGGUUGUCCCGGUUUAAGCAUGUAGGCGGAUGUUCCAGGUAAAUCCGGAACGUUACUAACGCUGAGGUGUGAUGACGAGGCACUACGGUGCUGAAGUGACAAAUGCCCUGCUUCCAGGAAAAGCCUCUAAGCAUCAGGUAACAUCAAAUCGUACCCCAAACCGACACAGGUGGUCAGGUAGAGAAUACCAAGGCGCUUGAGAGAACUCGGGUGAAGGAACUAGGCAAAAUGGUGCCGUAACUUCGGGAGAAGGCACGCUGAUAUGUAGGUGAAGUGGUUUACCCAUGGAGCUGAAAUCAGUCGAAGAUACCAGCUGGCUGCAACUGUUUAUUAAAAACACAGCACUGUGCAAACACGAAAGUGGACGUAUACGGUGUGACGCCUGCCCGGUGCCGGAAGGUUAAUUGAUGGGGUUAUCCGUAAGGAGAAGCUCUUGAUCGAAGCCCCGGUAAACGGCGGCCGUAACUAUAACGGUCCUAAGGUAGCGAAAUUCCUUGUCGGGUAAGUUCCGACCUGCACGAAUGGCGUAAUGAUGGCCAGGCUGUCUCCACCCGAGACUCAGUGAAAUUGAACUCGCUGUGAAGAUGCAGUGUACCCGCGGCAAGACGGAAAGACCCCGUGAACCUUUACUAUAGCUUGACACUGAACACUGGUCCUUGAUGUGUAGGAUAGGUGGGAGGCUUUGAAGUGUGGACGCCAGUCUGCAUGGAGCCAUCCUUGAAAUACCACCCUUUAAUGGCUGGUGUUCUAACGUGGGCCCGUUAUCCGGGUUGCGGACAGUGUCUGGUGGGUAGUUUGACUGGGGCGGUCUCCUCCUAAAGAGUAACGGAGGAGCACGAAGGUCAGCUAAUCCUGGUCGGACAUCAGGAGGUUAGUGCAAUGGCAUAAGCUGGCUUGACUGCGAGCGUGACGGCGCGAGCAGGUGCGAAAGCAGGUCAUAGUGAUCCGGUGGUUCUGAAUGGAAGGGCCAUCGCUCAACGGAUAAAAGGUACUCCGGGGAUAACAGGCUGAUACCGCCCAAGAGUUCAUAUCGACGGCGGUGUUUGGCACCUCGAUGUCGGCUCAUCACAUCCUGGGGCUGAAGUAGGUCCCAAGGGUAUGGCUGUUCGCCAUUUAAAGUGGUACGCGAGCUGGGUUUAGAACGUCGUGAGACAGUUCGGUCCCUAUCUGCCGUGGGCGCUGGAGAAUUGAGGGGGGCUGCUCCUAGUACGAGAGGACCGGAGUGGACGCAUCACUGGUGUUCGGGUUGUCAUGCCAAUGGCAUUGCCCGGUAGCUAAAUGCGGAAGAGAUAAGUGCUGAAAGCAUCUAAGCACGAAACUUGCCCCGAGAUGAGUUCUCCCUGACUCCUUGAGAGUCCUGAAGGAACGUUGAAGACGACGACGUUGAUAGGCCGGGUGUGUAAGCGCAGCGAUGCGUUGAGCUAACCGGUACUAAUGAACCGUGAGGCUUAACCUUACAACGCCGAAG
rnacentral:rRNA from 1 species